AACGGAAUUGAUCAUAGAAUCAGAAUCAGAAUCACUGAUGUCACAGAGAUGCUGCAGAUCUUUACUGCAGCUGCUGAAGACAUGAAGGAUGUGCUGUGUUCAAUCUGACAGAAAAAUGAUCAACACAAAACUCUUCCGAGGCUUUGGCUGUGUGAGGAGAAAGAAGGAGCACUGGGGUCUUCCUCUGACCGGACGCUUAGUCAACACUGCUACAGGAAGUGAACAUUGUAAAGUCGUUGUUAAAAGGAAGAAUCUCAGAGACUUUUG